rnacentral:rRNA from 1 species
UACCUACGGGGGGCAGCAGUGGGGAAUAUUGCACAAUGGGGGAAACCCUGAUGCAGCGACGCCGCGUGAGUGAGGAAGUAUUUCGGUAUGUAAAGCUCUAUCAGCAGGGAAGAAAAUGACGGUACCUGACUAAGAAGCCCCGGCUAACUACGUGCCAGCAGCCGCGGUAAUACGUAGGGGGCAAGCGUUAUCCGGAUUUACUGGGUGUAAAGGGAGCGUAGACGGAGGAGCAAGUCUGAUGUGAAAAUCCGGGGCUCAACCCCGGACCUGCAUUGGAAACUGUGUAUCUAGAGUGUCGGAGAGGG